UACAGAGGGGGCAAGCGUUGUUCGGAAUUACUGGGCGUAAAGGGCGCGUAGGCGGCCUUCUAAGUCGAACGUGAAAUCCCCCGGCUUAACCUGGGAACUGCGUCUGAUACUGGGAGGCUUGAGUAUGGGAGAGGGAUGUAGAAUUCCAGGUGUAGCGGUGAAAUGCGUAGAUAUCUGGAGGAAUACCGGUGGCGAAGGCGGCAUCCUGGACCAUUACUGACGCUGAGGCGCGAAAGCUAGGGGAGCAAACGGG
rnacentral:rRNA from 1 species